rfam:Caenorhabditis brenneri strain PB2801 C_brenneri-6.0.1_Cont88.17, whole genome shotgun sequence.
GCCAGGGUAGCCAAGUGGCAAAGGCGCGGGCCUUCUGAGCCUGUGGAUGUAAAUCCUUUAGGGGUUCGAUUCCCCUCUCUGGCA